GAUGAACGCUGGCGGCGUGCUUAACACAUGCAAGUCGAACGAAACACCUUAUUUGAUUUUCUUCGGAACUGAAGAUUUGGUGAUUGAGUGGCGGACGGGUGAGUAACGCGUGGGUAACCUGCCCUGUACAGGGGGAUAACAGUCAGAAAUGACUGCUAAUACCGCAUAAGACCACAGCACCGCAUGGUGCAGGGGUAAAAACUCCGGUGGUACAGGAUGGACCCGCGUCUGAUUAGCUGGUUGGUGAGGUAACGGCUCACCAAGGCGACGAUCAGUAGCCGGCUUGAGAGAGUGAACGGCCACAUUGGGACUGAGACACGGCCCAAACUCCUACGGGAGGCAGCAGUGGGGAAUAUUGCACAAUGGGGGAAACCCUGAUGCAGCGACGCCGCGUGAGUGAAGAAGUAUUGCGGUAUGUAAAGCUCUAUCAGCAGGGAAGAAAAUGACGGGACCUGACUAAGAAGCCCCGGCUAACGACG
rnacentral:rRNA from 1 species